rnacentral:rRNA from 1 species
UACGUAGGGCGCAAGCGUUAUCCGGAAUUAUUGGGCGUAAAGAGCUUGUAGGCGGUUUGUCGCGUCUGCUGUGAAAUUUCGGGGCUCAACCCCGAACUUGCAGUGGGUACGGGGCAGACUAGAGUGUGGUAGGGGAGACUGGAAUUCCUGGUGUAGCGGUGAAAUGCGCAGAUAUCAGGAGGAACACCGAUGGCGAAGGCAGGUCUCUGGGCCAUAACUGACGCUGAGAAGCGAAAGCAUGGGGGAGCGAACAGG